GGAGCUUGCGUCACAUUAGUUAGUUGGUGGGGUAAAGGCCUACCAAGACUAUGAUGUGUAGCCGGGCUGAGAGGUUGAACGGCCACAUUGGGACUGAGACACGGCCCAAACUCCUACGGGAGGCAGCAGUAGGGAAUUUUCGGCAAUGGAGGAAACUCUGACCGAGCAACGCCGCGUGAACGAUGAAGUAUUUCGGUACGUAAAGUUCUUUUAUUAGGGAAGAAUAAAUGAUGGAAAAAUCAUUCUGACGGUACCUAAUGAAUAAGCCCCGGCUAACUAUGUGCCAGCAGCCGCGGUAAUACAUAGGGGGCAAGCGUUAUCCGGAAUUAUUGGGCGUAAAGGGUGCGUAGGCGGUUAAAUAAGUUUAUGGUCUAAGUGCAAUGCUCAACAUUGUGAUGCUAUAAAAACUGUUUAGCUAGAGUAAGAUAGAGGCAAGUGGAAUUCCAUGUGUAGUGGUAAAAUGCGUAAAUAUAUGGAGGAACACCAGUAGCGAAGGCGGCUUGCUGGGUCUUUACUGACGCUGAGGCACGAAAGCGUGGGGAGCAAACAGGAUUAGAUACCCUGGUAGUCCACGCCGUAAACGAUGAGUACUAAACGUUGGGUAAAACCAGUGUUGAAGUUAACACAUUAAGUACUCCGCCUGAGUAGUACGUACGCAAGUAUGAAACUUAAAGGAAUUGACGGGACUCCGCACAAGCGGUGGAUCAUGUUGUUUAAUUCGAAGGUACCCGAAAAACCUCACCAGGUCUUGACAUGCUUCUGCAAAGCUGUAGAAACACAGUGGAGGUUAUCAGUUGCACAGGUGGUGCAUGGUUGUCGUCAGCUCGUGUCGUGAGAUGUUGGGUUAAGUCCCGCAACGAGCGCAACCCUUAUUGUUAGUUACCAGCACGUAAUGGUGGGGACUUUAGCAAGACUGCCAGUGAUGAAUUGGAGGAAGGUGGGGACGACGUCAAAUCAUCAUGCCCCUUAUGACCUGGGCUACAAACGUGAUACAAUGGCUGUUACAAAGGGUAGCUGAAGCGCAAGUUUUUGGCGAAUCUCAAAAAAACAGUCUCAG
rnacentral:rRNA from 1 species